AGCGAACGUUAGCGGCGCGCCUAACACAUGCAAGUCGCACGAGAAAGGGCUUCGGCCCCGGUACAGUGGCGCACGGGUGAGUAACACGUGGGUAACCUUCCCCAGAGUGGUGGAUAACCUGCCGAAAGGCGGGCUAAUACAGCAUACGACCGGUUGUCUUCGGGCGAUUGGUGAAAGCAGGCCUCUGUAUACAAGCUUGCGCUCUAGGAUGGGCCCGCGUCCCAUCAGCUAGUUGGUGAGGUAACGGCGCACCAAGGCUACGACGGGUAGCUGGUCUGAGAGGAUGGCCAGCCACACUGGAACUGAGACACGGUCCAGACUCCUACGGGAGGCAGCAGUGGGGAAUCUUGCGCAAUGGACGAAAGUCUGACGCAGCGACGCCGCGUGGGCGACGAAGGCCUUCGGGUUGUAAAGCCCUGUGGGGCGGGACGAACACACUCUAUUCGAACAGGGUAGGGUGCUGACGGUACCGCCUUAGCAAGCACCGGCUAACUCUGUGCCAGCAGCCGCCGUAACAC
rnacentral:rRNA from 1 species